UGUUUCAGCAUCAUGGCGUCGACAUUCCUCCAACAAUUGAGUCCCAUUUCGGCCGCCUUUAUUCUUUUUUUCCACUGGUUGUGCUGGCUAGGGUUUGGGGAGCGGAGUAAGAGAGGUCUAAAUACCUUUAUUUCUUCAAUCGAGACUGUUCGUGCAGGUCCACAUGGCACAAUGAAGAUUGUUUGAUGGCGCCUAUUUGGGAAACGAAUCUGGACUGUUCGAUUGGAGACACGUGGGCCGUUCGAUCCAUCCUAUUCCGGGAAUCGAUUUAGACUAUUCAUGUGUGUGGGAGU
rnacentral:lncRNA from 1 species